UAGUUCGAUCAUGGCUCAGGAUGAACGCUGGCGGCAUGCCUAAUACAUGCAAGUCGAACGGAGUGAAGCCCUCGGGUUUCAUUCAGUGGCGAACGGGUGAGUAAUACGCAGGGAACCUGGCCAUGGCAGGGGGAUACACUCUGGAAACGGAGCAUAAGACCCCAUAGGCAGUAAGGCGGCAUCGCCUUACUGUUAAAGAAAGCUGAAAGGCUUUGGCGAUGGAUGGACCUGCGGUGCAUUAGCUUGUUGGUGAGGCAACGGCUUACCAAGGCGAUGAUGCAUAGCCGGCCUGAGAGGGCGGACGGCCACACUGGGACUGAGACACGGCCCAGACUCCUGCGGGAGGCAGCAGUAGGGAAUUUUCGUCAAUGGGCGCAAGCCUGAACGAGCAAUGCCGCGUGAGUGAGGAAGGUCUUCGGACUGUAAAGCUCUGUUGCCGGGGAAAAAGGGGAAAUGCAGGAAAUGGCAUUUCAUGGAUGGUACCCGGCCAGAAAGCCACGGCUAACUACGUGCCAGCAGCCGCGGUAAUACGUAGGUGGCGAGCGUUAUCCGGAAUGAUUGGGCGUAAAGGGUGCGCAGGCGGUCUGUUAAGUCUGAAGGCAAAGGGAUGAGCUCAACUCAUUUAUGAUUCAGAAACUGGCAGACUUGAGGACAGGAGAGGGCGGUGGAACUCCAUGUGUAGCGGUAAAAUGCGCAGAGAUAUGGAAGAACACCAGUGGCGAAGGCGGCCGCCUGGCCUGUGACUGACGCUGAGGCACGAAAGCGUGGGGAGCAAAUAGGAUUAGAUACCCUAGUAGUCCACGCCGUAAACGAUGAGGAGCAGGUGUUGGGAGUGAAAUCUCAGUGCCGAAGCCAACGCAGUGACUCCUCCGCCUGGGGAGUAUGCACGCAAGUGUGAAACUCAAAGGAAUUGACGGGGGCCCGCACAAGCGGUGGAGUAUGUGGUUUAAUUCGAAGCAACGCGAAGAACCUUACCAGGUUUUGACAUCGGAUGCGAAGGCGCAGAGAUGCGCUGGAGGCUAUCAUCCAGACAGGUGGUGCAUGGUUGUCGUCAGCUCGUGUCGUGAGAUGUUCAGUUAAGUCUGGCAACGAGCGCAACCCCCGUGGUAUGUUACUAACGCUUUAGGGCGAGGACUCAUAUCAGACUGCCGGUGACAAACCGGAGGAAGGCGGGGAUGACGUCAAAUCAUCAUGCCCCUUAUGACCUGGGCUACACACGUACUACAAUGGCGUCUACAGAGGGAAGCGACCCUGAGAAGGGAAGCGAAACCGGAAAAGGGCGUCCCAGUUCGGAUUGAAGUCUGCAACCCGACUUCAUGAAGAUGGAAUCGCUAGUAAUCGCGGAUCAGCAUGCCGCGGUGAAUACGUUCCCGGGCCUUGUACACACCGCCCAUCAAACCAUGGAAGCCGGCAACGCCCGAAGCCGGUGGCAUAACCUUUUAGGAGUGAGCCGUCGAAGGCGGGGCCGAUGACUGGGGUUAAGUCGUAACAAGGUAACC
rnacentral:rRNA from 1 species